UUGGGUAAGUAAUAAAUAUUCCAUUUUGGACAUUUAUGAUGAUAAUACGUACAAUACAGAAAAACUUUCGUCCACUUCAAGUUUUAUCAGCAUCGAAUUAAAGUAUAAAAUGAACGGUUCGCGUUACCAAUGCAUCACUUGUUCUUACUAUACUUGCCUAUAGUUUUUAGAAACAAAACAAAUUCGGUGUGUCGUGGUGAUACUGAUCAGCGAAAAUUUCAAAAAAAUGAAUUCAAGUUACCUUACGUUCGUUGUGGGUGUUGUUAUUUUCACCGUAAGCCAACUUCUGUGCUACGCCGAAGCUAAAUCCGGAACGGCUGGAAAAUGAACACCAAAAGAACCGGACACGAAUACCAGUAUAAUGCAGAUUAUAAAAUUAUUCAUAGAAUUUCAAGAAAUGAAGAAUAUACAUAACAUAAAAAUGCGCUGCCCACACCUUACUUAUAAUGUAAUCUAUAUUUACCAAAUAGCAUAAUAAAAAUUUCUCGCGAGAA